UACGGGGGGAGCAAGCGUUGUUCGGAUUUACUGGGCGUAAAGGGCGCGUAGGCGGUCGUGACAAGUCACUUGUGAAAUCUCCGGGCUUAACUCGGAACGGUCAAGUGAUACUGUCGGACUAGAGUACAGAAGGGGCAACUGGAAUUCUCGGUGUAGCGGUGAAAUGCGUAGAUAUCGAGAGGAACACCAGCGGCGAAGGCGGCACUCUGGGCUGGAACUGACGCUGAGGAGCGAAAGUGUGGGGAGCGAACAGG
rnacentral:rRNA from 1 species